GUCCACGCCGUAACGAUGGAUGCUAGCCGUUGGUGGGUUACCCUUCAGUGGCGCAGCUAACGCAUUAAGCAUCCCGCCUGGGGAGUACGGUCGCAAGAUUAAACUCAAAGGAAUUGACGGGGCCCGCACAAGCGGUGGAGCAUGUGGUUCAAUUCGAAGCAACGCGCAGAACCUUACCAGCCUUUGACAUCCCGGUCGCGAGCACCAGAGAUGGAGCUUUUCAGUUCGGCUGGACCGGAGACAGGUGCUGCAUGGCUGUCGU
rnacentral:rRNA from 1 species